rnacentral:snRNA from 1 species
GGAUGUGAGGGCUAUCUGGCUGCAACAUCUGUCACCCCAUUGAUCGCCAGGGUUGAUCCAGCUGAUCUGGUUGACUAAGUAGGUGUUCCCUUCCUCCAUCAAUGCUCCAUGUGCGUCCCUCCCGAAGCUGCACACUCAGUCAAAGAGGAUGACCUUCCCCAAUAGAGGAGGACCAUUCUUCAGUCAGGGUGUGAUGAGUAGCUGCGCUCCCCUGCUAGAACCUCCAAACAAGCUCUCAAGAAAGUUCCAUUUCUAUUCUAGUUCCUGAUUUCAUAACUAUAACUGUUAUAGGACAGAAUGCCAGAAAGAAGACAAGAUCCUAUGUGAUCUUGGUAAGUCAUUUA